rnacentral:rRNA from 1 species
UACGAAGGGUCCAAGCGUUAUCCGGAUUUAUUGGGUUAAAGGGUGCGUAGGCGGCUUAUUAAGUCAGUGGUGAAAGACUUCAGCUUAACUGAAGAACUGCCAUUGAUACUGAUGAGCUUGAGUACAGUUGAGGUGGGCGGAAUGUGUCAUGUAGCGGUGAAAUGCUUAGAUAUGACACAGAACACCGAUUGCGAAGGCAGCUCGCUAAACUGUAACUGACGCUGAGGCACGAAAGCGUGGGGAGCAAACAGG